rnacentral:misc_RNA from 1 species
AAAGUCGUAACAAGGUUUCCGUAGGUGAACCUGCGGAAGGAUCAUUAAUGAAUUCGAAUCGGUCGUCUGUGCUGGUGGUAACACAUGUGCACGUCGAUCGUCAUUCCAUUCUCCUUUCAAUCGUCCAAGUGUGUGUCUGGUCGACCUCGGUCGAAGAGUUUGUGGCCCUCGGGCUCGAUUCGUUCCAGAUGCGCCUUGGUUAUUUCACCCACUCUGGGUAUUUGAAACAAAGAACAUUUUAUAUAAACUAUACAACUUUCAACAACGGAUCUCUUGGCUCUC